AUUGAACGCUGGCGGCAGGCCUAACACAUGCAAGUCGAGCGGAUGAAGGGAGCUUGCUCCUGGAUUCAGCGGCGGACGGGUGAGUAAUGCCUAGGAAUCUGCCUGGUAGUGGGGGAUAACGUCCGGAAACGGGCGCUAAUACCGCAUACGUCCUGAGGGAGAAAGUGGGGGAUCUUCGGACCUCACGCUAUCAGAUGAGCCUAGGUCGGAUUAGCUAGUUGGUGGGGUAAAGGCCUACCAAGGCGACGAUCCGUAACUGGUCUGAGAGGAUGAUCAGUCACACUGGAACUGAGACACGGUCCAGACUCCUACGGGAGGGAGCAGUGGGGAAUAUUGGACAAUGGGCGAAAGCCUGAUCCAGCCAUGCCGCGUGUGUGAAGAAGGGCUUCGGAUUGUAAAGCACUUUAAGUUGGGAGGAAGGGCAGUAAGUUAAUACCUUGCUGUUUUGACGGUACCAACAGAAUAAGCACCGGCUAACUUCGUG
rnacentral:rRNA from 1 species